GACGGAGGAUGCAAGCGUUAUCCGGAAUUAUUGGGCGUAAAGCGUCCGCAGGUGGCAUUUCAAGUCGGCAGUCAAAGACCGGGGCUUAACCCUGGAAAGGCUGUUGAUACUGAAAAGCUAGAGUAAGGUAGGGGCAGAGGGAAUUCCCGGUGUAGCGGUGAAAUGCGUAGAGAUCGGGAAGAACACCGGUGGCGAAAGCGCUCUGCUGGGCCUAAACUGACACUAAGGGACGAAAGCUAGGGGAGCGAAAGGG
rnacentral:rRNA from 1 species